rnacentral:tRNA from 1 species
ACUUAUAUAGUUUAAAUUAAAACAUUACAUUUUCAUUGUAAAAAUAAAAAUUCAUUUUUUAUAAGUA